AGGCGAAGGAGUCGCACGAAUCCAAAAUCUAGUGUGUGCGGCAGAGCCGACCUUGAACGUGCGUUAAUUUCAGGCCGGGAAAUUUCACCCUUGACGAUAAAUAACGGAUAAAACGAGACGCGGUAUCGUAAAUUGGACUUGCAAAAAGUUUAGCGCCCAUCAACAUUUCGGUCCGAUGAACGGCGCGCAUAAUUUAUGGACGGAUCCGAACCGCCGUUCUCACUCCUCUAAUAAAUCACUUGUCGCUGCAGCCGGUGAUGGUACAGUGUCGGAAACG